UGAGAUACAGCGGUCGUUUGAUACU
rnacentral:miRNA from 1 species